rnacentral:lncRNA from 1 species
GGAGCGUAAGUGAAAACUUUGAAAUUAAAAAACCUCCCCUUGCCGCAACUCUCCAUCUCCUUUUCAAACCACUUUUUCUUGCUUGAGCUCUGUUUUCAGUCUUACGGCGGCAGAUUUCGUGGGCUAACACGAAAAUCUAUUUUUUGAUCUUUGUAUACCAAGUUCAAGGGUGGCUAGAUCGUGGGUUUUUUUUUGCUAAGAUUAGUAAGGGAGUAUAGUUUUUUGUGUGUGCUGGAUUUUGAUGUUUUAAUCUGAUGUGGUGGUCUGCUUAGGGCUUUCUGGGAUUGGGUUAAUGGAUCUUGAUGUUUUGUGCUGGUGUGCUUCGGAUGUUGGAAGAUGUCCAUAUUUGGAUGGUUCAGAUCUGGGUUUAUAUGUGCUUACUGCUUAUUGUGUCCAUAAAUCAAAUUUAUGUUGUUCAUGUUAUCGCAUUCUCUUCUUUGUUAGUUCUAUUUGAGUCCUCUUCUCUCAUUCCUCGCAUGUGGCCCAUCCACUCUCUACUUUCUUAAGGGUUUGGAUCUGAUCUGGUUAUCUUUGGGGAUUUUUAGCUGAUUUGUGCUCUCAUUUUUGAGUUGUGGUUCGCUUUUGCUCUUUUGUUUGUUCUCAAUUGGUUGGGUCUUAUCAAUUGAUGAUUUAUCCAUGUUGAUUCUGUUUUGUUGAUUAAUUAUUUCAUAUUACAAAAUGAAUUUGGUGUUGAUGGUUUGCAGUCAAUAUAUCUUAUGCUUCUAGGUAAUCUUUGUUUGAUUGUUUGCUGUUCUCAUUGUGCUUCUGGUAUCCUAUUCGCUGGAAUGUAUGAAUGAUGAUGGUCUGGAUUUUUGGGUUUUGAGUUUCCUUUAUUCAAUAUUAGCGUGGAUUGACCUAUUAUUUUGCUAAUCAAUGUAUUUUAAAUGGACGGUUCUUGUUGGAUUGCUGGGAAUGCCAGAGUAUUGUGCUUAUCGCCGGUGAUUUGGUUGUUGUCGGUUUGCCAUAGAAAACUUUGUGCUGAUGGUUGGGUCCUACGUCAGUUACCACAUAGAAAAAUUUUAGACAUUGAUUUUACUACCUUACAUGAAAAAAAGAAAAAAAAGGGUAAUCUGCAAUCCAAUUUACUCUGAACAUAUUUCUGUUACAAUUGUAUUUUGUCGUCUUAUAAUUUACAAGAAAACCAUCAUCUAUUUGCUUGUUAGAGGAGCAAACCAUCAUCUGUUUUCUGAGUUCUUGCCACCUGUGCAAGAAGAAGCUUCAUAGCCUGGACAUUUUCAUGUACAGGUAUAAAUUGUGCUAUUUAGCUAAAUUAUUCUCUUUUUUUAAUUAUUAUUAUUAUUACAACUUAUUUUGAUUGAGUGGUGUAUUUUUUGGUCACUAACAGGAGUUAAUAUUGGUAGGUC